GCUCGGAUGGUGUAGUGGUAUCACGUCAGUCUCACACACUGAAGGCCCUCAGUUCGAUCCUGAGUUCGAGCA